AGCUACAGCUUCAUACCCCAGGGGAUCACAGCAUUGUUCUGCCAAGGAGAUUAACACUCCCUUCUUCGCCUCUGGGGUUACUGGAUUACUGGGAGUGCGGGGAGAGGAGCUUGACCUUAGUGGUCUCUCAGUCUAACUAGGGAGGGUGGACCUAUCAAAAGCUCAAAAAAGCUUCGGAAGUGGAGAAGGCCCUCUCCUCCAAGAGCAAGUGACCUUGCAGGGCCAGCAGCUACAGGGGCUGGCAGCAGAUUGCGUGGGCUCAGAAGAACUAAGCUUUAAUAAGAAGCAGACACUGGCUUUUGUUUUGGCCUUGCUGAGGACAUAGGUGGACUUUUUCCAUGGCAGACAAAAGAAGAUGGGACAUUAGAAACCCAGAAGCAAAUUUUCUGGAAGAAUAUUAGCCUCACAGAGAUGCCCCAUAUGUCAGUCCAGGCCAUGUUGGAAGUAACCAAGUCAUCAAUGGGAAGUUUUGGAGGGUCAGGAAAUUACAAAGCUGACAGUCACCCAACCAUCUCUACGUACACUCAGCCAUGCAUUGUGUUUCUCCUCUCUACCCUCUUCCCCAGCCUGGUUAUCCCUCUAAGGUGAUUUUUAGAUUUCAGGUGAGAUCUUUACCUGAUCCCGUAUUCAUAAAAACUUAAUUAUCGUUCUUCAUGCUUUAUUACUAAAGAUAUCCUUAUGCUGCUCUCUUUCCCUGGGGCCUCUAAAUAAUCAUUUUCUUAUAAUUUCGGUUCUAAAAUAAAUCCUGUGCAAGGUUGUCCAAAUUUUUGGUGUCUC